CAACCUGCCCACCACUUGGGGAUAACCUUGCGAAAGUAAGACUAAUACCCAAUGAUAUCUCUAGAGGACAUCUGAAAGAGAUUAAAGAUUUAUCGGUGAUGGAUGGGGAUGCGUCUGAUUAGCUUGUUGGCGGGGUAACGGCCCACCAAGGCAACGAUCAGUAGGGGUUCUGAGAGGAAGGUCCCCCCACAUUGGAACUGAGACACGGUCCAAACUCCUACGGGAGGCAGCAGUGAGGAAUAUUGGUCAAUGGACGAGAGUCUGAACCAGCCAAGUAGCGUGCAGGAUGACGGCCCUAUGGGUUGUAAACUGCUUUUAUAAGGGAAUAAAGUGAGUCUCGUGAGACUUUUUGCAUGUACCUUAUGAAUAAGGACCGGCUAAUUCCGUGCCAGCAGCCGCGGUAAUACGGAAGGUCCGGGCGUUAUCCGGAUUUAUUGGGUUUAAAGGGAGCGUAGGCCGGAGAUUAAGCGUGUUGUGAAAUGUAGACGCUCAACGUCUGCACUGCAGCGCGAACUGGUUUCCUUGAGUACGCACAAAGUGGGCGAAAUUCGUGGUGUAGCGGUGAAAUGCUUAGAUAUCACGAAGAACUCCGAUUGCGAAGGCAGCUCACUGGAGCGCAACUGACGCUGAAGCUCGAAAGUGCGGGUAUCGAACAGGAUUAGAUACCCUGGUAGUCCGCACGGUAAACGAUGGGAUGCCCGCUGUUGGUCUGAAUAGGUCAGCGGCCAAGCGAAAGCAUUAAGCAUCCCACCUGGGGAGUACGCCGGCAACGGUGAAACUCUAAUGAAUGGAC
rnacentral:rRNA from 1 species